UGCAGGAGGAGAUGGAGAGUACACUGCCUCAAAUGCCCGCACUGGGAGAGGCUGAGGAAUUAAUAUUCUCAACCACCAGAUCAAGCUAGACAGGGCCAGAAAAGUGAGCGACACACAGGGAAACACACAGAGAAGGCAGCGAGGUCAGAGCUGCUCCUUUAAAAAUACUGGUGAAAUUGGCCGGGCGCAGUGGCUCACGCCUGUAAUCCCAGCACUUUGGGAGGCCGAGGCAGGAGGAUCAUCUGAGGUCAGGAGUUUGAGACCAGCCUGGCCAACAUGGUGAAACCAUGUCUCUACUAAAAAUACAAAAAUUAGCCAGGUGUAGUGGCGCCUGCCUGUAGUCCCAGCCACUUGGGAGGCUGAGGCAGGAGAAUCGCUUGAACCCGGGAGGUGGAGGUCGCAGUGAGCCAAGAUCGCACCACUGCACUCCAGCCUGGCGACACAGCAAGACUUCGUCUCAAAAUAAAUAAAUUAAAAUAAAAUACUGGUGAAAUGGACAAACUUCUGGUGAGAUUAAUGAAGGAAAA
rnacentral:lncRNA from 10 species